AUACGGAGGACGCGAGCGUUAUCCGGAUUCAUUGGGUUUAAAGGGUGCGCAGGCGGCCGUGCAAGUCAGCGGUGAAAGCCCGGGGCUCAACCCCGGAAGUGCCGUUGAUACUGCAUGGCUGGAAUGCGGUCGAGGCGGGCGGAACGGGGCGUGUAGCGGUGAAAUGCGUAGAUAUGCCACAGAACGCCGAUAGCGGAGGCAGCUCGCCAGGCCUGCAUUGACGCUCGGGCACGAAAGCGUGGGGAUCGAACAGGAUUAGAUACCCUGGUAGUCCACGCCGUAAACGAUGGGCGCUCGUCGUCGGCGGCAGACAGUCGGCGGCCAAGCGAAAGCGAUAAGCGCCCCACCUGGGGAGUACGGUCGCAAGGUUGAAACUCAAAUGAAUUGACGGGG
rnacentral:rRNA from 1 species